rnacentral:lncRNA from 1 species
UAGAUAUUAGAGAGACUAUUAAGCUAUAUCAUAUUGGGUCUUAGUAAUAAGAAGGAGAAUAGGCCAGAAUAAAGGAGAGAGUAGAGGCCCACGUAAAUAGCUUCAUCAGCCCACUCAAACAGUAAUCAAUAAAUAGAAGAAUCUUGAAUGAAGCAUGGCAUGCAAAAUCUGGUAAAUUCUGUUACAACUCCUAAUCACUUUUCUCUCAAUUCUUCUCUCCCAAUUCUCUCUCUCUCUCUAACGACCUUUCUAACUCCUAUCUCUCUUCUUCUUCUUUCAGGUUAACAUGGAGGAUUAGUUAGAAUCAAUAUUGUAG